UACGUAGGGGGCAAGCGUUGUCCGGAUUAUUGGGCGUAAAGAGCGUGUAGGCGGCCAGGUAGGUCAGCUGUGAAAACUCGAGGCUCAACCUCGAGACGCCGGUUGAAACCAUCUGGCUAGAGUCCGGAAGAGGAGAGUGGAAUUCCGUGGUGUAGCGGUGAAAUGCGUAGAGAUGUGGAGGAACACCGAUGGCGAAGGCAGCCUCCUGGGCCAACACGUGACGCUCAUGCACGAAAGCGUGGGGAGCAAACAGG
rnacentral:rRNA from 1 species